rnacentral:tRNA from 1 species
GAAAUAACUUACAAUUAAACUUCUAAUUUAACAUCUAGUGAUCUUAUAUCAUUAUUAUUUCU